AUAUUUCGGAACUGAGUGUAGUUCCUUCAAUAUCAAUGUAAUCCAGUAGACUACUGGAUUACAUUGAUAUCGAAGGAACUAGACUCAGUUCCGAAAUAU